CGGCGUAGCGCUAGACUCUGCCGCCUUUCGGCGCCUAUGAGCCUGGCGCCACCCGUUUUGUGAAUCGGAGAUAUUCGGAUGGCCCGUAUUGCAGGCGUUAACAUCCCGGAA
rfam:Alcanivorax borkumensis SK2, complete genome